rnacentral:rRNA from 1 species
AUACGGAGGGUGCAAGCGUUAUUCGGAAUCACUGGGCGUAAAGCGCGCGCAGGCGGGCUGAUAAGUUGGAUGUGAAAGCCUACGGCUCAACCGUAGAACUGCAUCCAAAACUGUCAGUCUAGAGUCUGGGAGGGGAAGAUGGAAUUAGUUGUGUAGGGGUAAAAUCCGUAGAGAUAACUAGGAAUACCAAAAGCGAAGGCGAUCUUCUGGAACAGUACUGACGCUGAGGCGCGAAAGCGUGGGGAGCAAACGGAAUUAGAUACCCUAGUAGUCC